AUUGAACGCUGGCGGAAUGCUUUACACAUGCAAGUCGAGCGGCAGCACGGGGGCAACCCUGGUGGCGAGCGGCGAACGGGUGAGUAAUACAUCGGAACAUGCCCAGUCGUGGGGGAUAACACUUCGAAAGAAGUGCUAAUACCGCAUACGUCCUGAGGGAGAAAGCGGGGGAUCUUCGGACCUCGCGCGAUUGGAGUGGCCGAUGUCAGAUUAGCUAGUUGGUGGGGUAAAGGCCUACCAAGGCAACGAUCUGUAGCUGGUCUGAGAGGAUGAUCAGCCACACUGGGACUGAGACACGGCCCAGACUCCUACGGGAGGCAGCAGUGGGGAAUUUUGGACAAUGGGGGCAACCCUGAUCCAGCCGUUCCGCGUGAGUGAAGAAGGCCUUCGGGUUGUAAAGCUCUUUCGGCAGGAACGAAACGGCGAGCUCUAACAUAGCUUGCUAAUGGCGGUACCUGAAGAAGAAGCACCGGCUAACUACGUGCCAGCAGCCGCCGUAACAC
rnacentral:rRNA from 1 species